rnacentral:rRNA from 1 species
GAUGAACGCUGGCGGCGUGCCUAAUACAUGCAAGUCGAGCGAACAGAUGAGGAGCUUGCUCCUCUGACGUUAGCGGCGGACGGGUGAGUAACACGUGGAUAACCUACCUAUAAGGCUGGGAUAACUUCGGGAAACCGGAGCUAAUACCGGAUAAUAUAUUGAACCGCAUGGUUCAAUAGUGAAAGACAGUUUUGCUGUCACUUAUAGAUGGAUCCGCGCCGCAUUAGCUAGUUGGUAAGGUAACGGCUUACCAAGGCAACGAUGCGUAGCCGACCUGAGAGGGUGAUCGGCCACACUGGAACUGAGACACGGUCCAGACUCCUACGGGAGGCAGCAGUAGGGAAUCUUCCGCAAUGGGCGAAAGCCUGACGGAGCAACGCCGCGUGAGUGAUGAAGGUCUUCGGAUCGUAAAACUCUGUUAUUAGGGAAGAACAAAUGUGUAAGUAACUAUGCACGUCUUGACGGUACCUAAUCAGAAAGCCACGGCUAACUACGUG